AUUGAACGCUGGCGGCAUGCCUUACACAUGCAAGUCGAACGGCAGCACGGGAGCUUGCUCCUGGUGGCGAGUGGCGAACGGGUGAGUAAUAUAUCGGAACGUGCCCAGUCGCGGGGGAUAACGUAGCGAAAGCUACGCUAAUACCGCAUACGAUCUAUGGAUGAAAGCGGGGGAUCGCAAGACCUCGCGCGAUUGGAGCGGCCGAUAUCAGAUUAGGUAGUUGGUGAGGUAAAGGCUCACCAAGCCGACGAUCUGUAGCUGGUCUGAGAGGACGACCAGCCACACUGGGACUGAGACACGGCCCAGACUCCUACGGGAGGCAGCAGUGGGGAAUUUUGGACAAUGGGCGCAAGCCUGAUCCAGCAAUGCCGCGUGCAGGAUGAAGG
rnacentral:rRNA from 1 species